rfam:Vibrio tubiashii ATCC 19109 chromosome 1, complete sequence.
GGAGCGGUAGUUCAGUUGGUUAGAAUACCGGCCUGUCACGCCGGGGGUCGCGGGUUCGAGUCCCGUCCGCUCCG